CUGCUCGACGCUGGUCCUCCUCCGUUGAAUGCCCAUGUCCUCUCUACCGAACCCACUGAGCGUUGCUGGCUUGUUCGGGCACGGAGCAUCGCAUGAGUGGAAUACUUCAUGUUAAGCUCACACUGCAGUCUGCACAAGCUGUUUCUUACAAAGGACGGGGUCACGGGGGACAUAUGGUGGAGCACUACAAAGAGGACAGGUUUAAUGCAAUUGUUCGUCCUGCAAAGAUUUUCACCAGCGCAUCAUAUAAGGUUUGCCCAUAAAGUCCAUAACUAUUUUCAAUCUCCCCUUUUUGAUUUUUUUUGACCAUGGGCUUGGCAUCGCAUGUUCCUUCUAGUAAUUCCUUUCAAUCAUUUUGAGCUCAUACUGAUCAGAACCACAGAAGACACAAAGUAAUCUCACAUAGUUUUAGGAGGAAAAGACAAAAGUAUGUUGCGUGUGACCAUGAAAAGUAAACAUAUGUUAGUAAAGAAAGAACAAACAACCUGACUUUCUCAUAUUGCACUCAGUUAUGCCCCAAACUCAAACAAUUAUCAAACCUUGAUUUACACACUAUCUGUAUUUACAAAUCGUUCUUCAGUCACACAACAUUUCAAUGCAAUGGCGAUAGCGAAACCUUGAUGUUUACUAGUACCAACACACUAUACUACACCUCAAGUAAAUAGCAUACAAAUGUACAAAUAGCAACAAAAAUAUACACACUCUAAGGUGAAUGCAGUAUCAAGCUUUUGGUAAUUCAGAUUUUGUGUGUCCAGGCUUGCCUAUGAUAGCUUUCUUCACUUUUGCUAGUUGGUGCUUUACCUUUGAUCCGACACCAGAUAAGAUAUUAUGCUUUUUAGGCGAUGACUUCUGCCCUGCCUCCCGUUCUUCAAUUUUCAUUGGUGUGUCAUCAGCGAAAUUCUUAGCUUCCUCGUCACCAUUUGUCUUUUUGUCAUAACUCUUCUCUUCUGCAAUGUUUGAUACAUCUUUCUUUGGACUUUGUUCUUCAUCUGUGCUGAACUCUGGCUCUUUUAUAUCCACAGAAUUUUCUUCACUCUCAGGAGCUUCUGUUGGUGAAAUCACAUCGAGAUUAUGUUUCUGAUUGUGUGAUGCCUUUUGUACUGCUCCUUGUUCUUCAAUUUUGGCUUUCGCUUCAUCAGUGAAACUCUUAGCUUCCUGUACAUCCUUUGUCUUCUCAUCAGAAGUUUUCUCUCCUGCCAUAUUUGAUUCAUCUUUCUUUGGACUUUGUUCUUCAAUUAUGCUGAAUUCUGGCUUUGACUGCACAAAAUUUUCUUCAACCUCAGGAGCUUCUUCUGGUGAAGCCACAUCGAGAUCACGUUUCUGAACCUGUGAAUUAAAUGUUUCUUGCUCUUCAUUUGAUUGUGCGUUCACUGUUUGCACAUGGCUAUCAACAGUUUCGUUUACAUUCACUUCUUUGAUCACAGGCUCUCUUAUGGCCAAAUAAUUCUGAUCACCUUCAUCAGAUUCUUUAGGAGAUUUUUGUGCAACUUCCGUUUCCUGCUCCAUCUGCAAAUUAGAUUCUCCUGACUUAUCUAGCAGGUUGUUCUUCUCCAUCACAAUUUGGUCGCCUGCAGAUUCAUCUUGCUUAUCUUGGUCUAUAUGUAAGCUGGAACCAUCUAACUGAAUUUCCAAAGCUUUCUCAGAGUUGUCUAGGUCACUGUUUGAGAACUUAUAGCUUUGUUUUUCAUCCUUGCACUCUGAGACUGCAGAAAUCUCCUUUUCCUGAACCAAAUUUAUCUCAUUGCCCAUAACUGGUUCAGUAAUUUCACCUUUCUGCUCAUCAGAUAUUGCUUCUGCACCUUUGUGCGAGAUAUCAUGCAUAUUUUCUAUCUGUUCUUCUGUAGCUCCACCUGUGGUAGUUAUCUGCUGAUUCUCUUCUUCCUUGUCUACUCCAUUCUCCAGUUCUGCCUCUACAGUACUUUCGCCCUCAAUGAUGGAAGAUUCAUUGGACUCUUCUCUUUUUGUGCUCAGAGGACUUUGAAGAUCAUCAGUGUUAUUAGGAAAAUCCUUUUCAUCACCCAUAUUUGGUUCUGUCGACAAGAGUGUUUGCCCGGAUACUGCAUCAGAACUUCUAUUUUCAGGUAAAUGCUUGUGGUGAAGGUCUGUUCUUCCUUCCUCUAAUGCCUCCUCUUGAGAAACCUUUGGGCUUGUUAUGUCAUCAAGGUUGCUCUUCAAGCUUCCUUCCUCAAUCUGUGUUGUCGCUUCCAUAUGUUCCUGACAAACAGAAUUGGUUGCCUUUUCACCCAGCUUGAUAUCUCUUGUUUCCAUUUCUGUAAUCAGGCCAGAUCCACCAGGUACCACCAGUUCACUGGAAGUUUCACCUUGGACACUGUUUUGGCAUACUGGUGCUUCCAAAUCAUGAGUGUUCCUAUUGAGUUCCUCAUCCUUUUCCAGCUUGAUAUCAUGUGUUUCUUCAGAGCCUUCUAAAUUAUGUUUUCCUUUUUCAGAAAUGAGUUCCUUUUCCACCAUAUUUUCUGUAGGAAUUGGCACCAAGCUUUCUUCCUGCUCCGAGGUGAUCAAAGAACUGUCAUCUUUUGUGGUUUCUUCUUGCUUCUUUUCAGCUUCAAAUUCUGAAUUUCCAUCUGGCUCAUUGCUCUCUUUUCCCAUUAUCAGGUUCAUCAGAAAAUGGGAGACAGGCAAAUCACUUUGUUCAGCUUCGUUUUCUUCUUUCUCCGUGUCACCAGUUUCUUGCUCUUGUAUGUUCUCUUCACCUUGUUCUUUGGUUAUUUGAUUCUCUUCUUGCUCUUCUGAUUCGGUGGGGAGUGGCUUCUCUAGAAACAACUCUCUUUCUGUCACCUCUAACUCAGAUGCCUGUUCAGUUUCAUUUCUGUCCACGGCGGAGUGUGCACGAAGAUCAAACUUAUGAUGUUCAUUGUCUUCGUUUAUACUUUCUCCUGUUGCUGUAACUGCAGGUGAAGCCUCAAGAUUCCUUCCGUUCUCCUCGAUGGUCUCGAGAUUUUCAUCAGAUAGUGCCCCAUCAGCUCUACUAGCCUAGAUUGGAAAAGUGAAAUUAGCUUUAAAAGAACAAACUUAAACCUGCAUUAAUAUUAGCUAAAGAAUUUGUCCACUGACCUUAUCAUAGAUAGCUUCACCGAGUUUGAUUGAUUCAGUGGAUGCUGUAUAGCCAGUCGCUAUUUCCUCAUUCGAGUCAGUUUCAACUUCUCCACCAUUCUGCUUUGUUGCCAACUUGUCAUCUACAACCUGAAUGACAGAAUUUUUUCCGUUUAUUUCUCUUACUAUAAAGUAACAGCCUUAAAAAUUUAUUAAAAGAAGUUUUGACCAGAAAAUUUGGUCGCACAAACUUUUUAAGAGUAUCAGUACUGACCUUUGGAUGAGUGCUCAAGUCCUGCUCAACAUCAUUCUGUUUAGGAUUUUCCACCACAUAUUCUGAAAUGGAACUGAAUCCCUUGUUUUCCUCCACCUCUUCAAUUUCUGUGGGCUGUUUAUCGAUCCUUCCAUGUAUCAUUUCUGCACUUGGGCUCAUGGUAUCAUCCAUUUUAGUAUCUGUGCUGUUACUGGAAUGCAGUCCAGACGCCUCUUCAUCUACAGGUUUGGUCUCAGUUUUGUCAUGAUUAACAUCGGUGUCUUCAUUUUGUAUUUCUUCCUUCUUUUCCACCUCAUCAACGAUCUCUUCUUCUAAUGCUUGAGGGACCUGCAUACCAUCAUUGGGCUUGUUUAUGCAUUCUUCCUCUUCUGAGUGCACUCUGGACUCAAUAUUCUGAGGAACAGCUGUAGGAUCCUGCACAUCAGUUAAUUGUUCAUUUUGCUGAUCAUUAUGAUAUCAUUAAAUAUUGAGAGUGACUGGUAUCUUUGUUUCUUGCACAGCAGGUGAAGAAACAAGCUACUCUGUACCACUGAAAUGACAGACGGAGAUACUGUGUAGAAGGGUUUUUUCUACUGGCUGCAAAUCUCAAGCUCAU
rnacentral:lncRNA from 1 species